CCUGGAGUGGGGGAUAACGUAGCGAAAGUUACGCUAAUACCGCAUACGAUCUAAGGAUGAAAGCAGGGGACCGCAAGGCCUUGUGCUCCUGGAGCGGCCGAUAUCUGAUUAGCUAGUUGGUGGGGUAAAGGCCUACCAAGGCAUCGAUCAGUAGCUGGUCUGAGAGGACGACCAGCCACACUGGAACUGAGACACGGUCCAGACUCCUACGGGAGGCAGCAGUGGGGAAUUUUGGACAAUGGGCGAAAGCCUGAUCCAGCAAUGCCGCGUGAGUGAAGAAGGCCUUCGGGUUGUAAAGCUCUUUUGUCAGGGAAGAAACGGU
rnacentral:rRNA from 1 species